UACAGGGGGGGCAAGCGUUGUUCGGAAUUACUGGGCGUAAAGGGCGCGUAGGCGGCCAUCUAAGUCAGACGUGAAAUCCCCCGGCUUAACCUGGGAACUGCGUCUGAUACUGGACGGCUUGAGUGCGGGAGAGGGAUGUGGAAUUCCAGGUGUAGCGGUGAAAUGCGUAGAUAUCUGGAGGAACACCGGUGGCGAAGGCGGCAUCCUGGACCGACACUGACGCUGAGGCGCGAAAGCUAGGGUAGCAAACGGG
rnacentral:rRNA from 1 species